UACGUAGGGUGCGAGCGUUAAUCGGAAUUACUGGGCGUAAAGCGUGCGCAGGCGGUUUUGUAAGCCGGAUGUGAAAUCCCCGGGCUUAACCUGGGAAUGGCAUUCGGGACUGCAUAGCUGGAGUGCGGCAGAGGAGACUGGAAUUCCUGGUGUAGCAGUGAAAUGCGUAGAUAUGCGGAGGAACACCGAUGGCGAAGGCAAUCCCCUGGGCCUGCACUGACGCUCAUGCACGAAAGCGUGGGGAGCAAACAGG
rnacentral:rRNA from 1 species